UCUGGUGACGAUUGCGAAGAGGUCACACCCGUUCCCAUCCCGAACACGGAAGUUAAGCUCUUCAGCGCCGAUGGUAGUUGGGGUUUCCCCCUGCAAGAGUAGGACGUCGCCGGUC
rfam:Sporosarcina psychrophila strain DSM 6497, complete genome.